UGGAGUUGGAGAGCCCCGGCUGCGUGCUGAGCACUGUGCAUGGGGCAUGGCGUGGGGCACAGCCCUGCACCCAGCCUCCCAGCCCACUGCAGGGCACAGCACAGCACGGCUGCUGGUUUCACUUCUCAUUCGCAAACAUCUCCGUGCAGCUGCUGUCACUGCAGCCAAGCUGCACUGCUCACCCCAUAGCUGUGGGGCUGCGGCCCCUGGGAAGCUGCUCCUGCUCCUUCCUGAGGGCUCGAGCCCUUUGCUGUCAGGGUGCUGUAGCUGAGCUCAGCUCCAUUCACGGUUAUCAGCAGUGCAAGCACCGAGCCUGGCUCUGGGGUGGGUGCACCAGCAGUGUGUGCUGGGGGUCCCCCCCCCCAUUGCUCUGCAGAUACUGCAGCACUCAGCACAGGAAGGCCAGCAGAGCAACACGUAGCUCUGAAAAGCCCAAGGCAGAGCAGCGGGGCUGAGCUGUGGCGUGGCCCCAUUGCAGCUCUGUGGGGACUCUGAGCCCACAUGGGGGUCCCACGGCACCGCGGGGCAGGGUUGGGGUUUGGCACAGCCCCACGCAGCGCCGUGCAGCUGCAGCUCUGCUUCCUUCUCCCCCAGCUUCUGCUACUGACUCAGCUCCAUGUGCACGGGGAAACGUGCUGCAGCACAAAGCCAACACACUGCAUGGUCAAAUAUAACGUGCUGCGGUCGGACCCACAUCCGAACACUGCACUGUGGGGUGGUGUGAGAGCAGAGGGACGGGGCCUGGAGCCCCACUGCAGCCCCGGGGCUGCGUUCCCUGCAGCAAAACCUGGGCGAACCUUUGGGCUGAGGAUGGGUGGUAGAUGCAAAUGGCUCACGAGGUGCUGCAGCCCCGUGUGCUGCAACCCCAUCGGGCUGUGCCUCAAGCACUGCAAGCAGCAGCUGCACAGCUGGAGAGGGUGAGCCAGCAGCAUGCAGUGCUGUGAUGCAGUGCAGCAAAGCGGUGUGGUGCUGCACGGUGCGGUGCUGCGUGCUGCCAUGCAGUGGUGCAGGGUAGGGCCGUGUGGUGCCAUGCAGCACAGCGCCGUGGGUUGUGGUGCGUUGCAGUGCAGCACGGCGCUGCAUGGUGUGGUGCAGCACAGUGUUACGUGGUGCAGUGCUGCAGUGCCACGUGGUGCUGCACAGCACAGCCCUGAGUCGUGCAUUGCGGUGCAGCACGGUGCUGCAUGGUGUGGUGCAUUGCACUGUGGCAGCAGAGCGGGGCUGUGGUGCUGCAGGGCAGCAGUGAGGCAGGAGCAGUGCUGGCAGCCCAUGGGGUGCGGAUGUGUGGGGCUGAGCUCCCCCAGCCCCAGGUGCCCCACGAAACCGUGGGUCCGCCCUUCCUCUCUGGGUUUUCCUCUGCACCACAGCCUGUGUGUGUGUGUGUGUGUGUGUGUGUGUGUGCCAGUGGGGUCAUGGAAAGUGUGAUGGGGCCAUUUACAUUUUCCUAACUCUCAGCAGUCCCUGAAAAUGGAGAGGUUUGCCUCACGUGAACCGACAGACAGAGGGGGAAGUUCCCCUCCCACUCAGACACAGGCAUGGCAGCCUGGUUGGGUUCAUGGGUGCCAUCCCCCCAUCCCCGCUGUGCUCCUGCACUGUGGGUUCCCCACACCCACCCAGGCCGGGGGCUCUGGGCCCCAUCGCCGUGGGGCUGGGGUUGGGGGGCGCAGCCCCCAUCGGGACGGGCUGAGAGCUGAGCCGUGCCCUCGUUAUUCUCUCCCAGGAGCGCAAAUCCUACAAGUGGAAACAGCUGCUCUUCUUCAUCACCUUCAUCACCUUCUCCAUUGCCGUCUGUGUCUAUUUCCACCACAACUGGUACUGCAGACCUGGAGUGUACACCAUCUUCGCUUUCCUGGAGUACGUGGUGGUCUUCUCCAACAUGGCCUUCCACAUGACGGCCUUCUGGGACUUCGGCAACAAGGAGCUGGUGGUGAGCUCGAUGCUGGAGGACAAGCAUUUCUAACUGAGCGCUCCCCCGGUUUGUGCUGCCCCGUAGCGUGGGCCGGGGGCUGCAGUUGCCCCCCAUGCUGGGACCAGGAAUGGGAUUCACUCCUCCUGACUGCGCUCCAGUGCUCAUCAGAGCUCUGUGUGCUGCUCAGGCACCAGGGACGCGAGGGCUGGCGAUCGCUGCCUCUUUGCAGUGGGUUGGGCAGAGCAGUUGCUGCUUGUGGUGUUGGGCCCGUUUUCUGCGUGCUGCUUUCACCCCCAGGCUGAUGGGAUUUAUGGGGGACCCUUCAUCCAAAUCCCCAGAAAGAAUCUGUGGUCCAAAGGUGGCCUAACCCUGCCCCACAGCUCUGGGACCGUGGGCACUUUGCUGCAGGGCUGGGUGCAGUGCUGGGCUGGGGGUCCCAUGUCCCCAUCCAUUUGUACCCCCAUCUCCCACCCAGGUGGGGCGCACAGCCCCUCCCUGCAGCGCCUUCUCCUGGCUUUGGAGGACGAAAUAAAGCACUGAGGAUUUUUGGGA